CAGAUUGAUUUAUUAUUAAAUUAAUAGAAAACAUCACGUAAGGUUAAAAAGCUGACUGUUGUUUAAAUAACGACUCCACUGCCAACUGUGGUACUUACGGUUAUUCGUCCAUAUGCGGUUAGGUUUUCUGGGGGGGAAAAAAUGUCCCAGUGAACCCAAAUGGUUCCUCGAUUUAUCGGGAACCGUAUAUAGUUACGUUCACCUUGUUGUUUAUGUGCUAGGGUUCACGGGUCACGACCGAAAUAGAAAUUGAAGAACGAAAUAAAUUGUGCGAGUCGUAUACCGUGUAGUAUAGGUACUAUAUACUAAAAGCCUCGUUGAAAAACGCGACCAUUAGAUGACAAAUAAUUCAGAGACCCAAUAGAAACGUUACGUAGGUACCGAUUACAACAGAGUUAAAAAGUCGCUAAAUGUCGCCGUUGUCGACGUCAUCAGUUGCAUUAGACGGAUCGUUUAUCACGCCGGGUAAAGUGUGAUAACGUAAAAAGGACUUCGCGUUCUUGUUUUCGUCGUUAUAAAUAGGUACAUAUGAAUAAAAUUCUUUAAUGAAAAAACAGGUUGUUUUUUUUUUUUAUCAACAAGGACUAAUUUGCCUAUUAUAUUGUAUAUACGGAAGAAAAAUAAAACACCUAU